AUGGCCGCCUCUGCGUCCUGCAUUUCUCUAGUGGUGCUCGUGGCUCUGGCCACGGCGGCGGCGGGGCAGCUGUCGCCGACGUUCUACGAUACGUCGUGCCCCAGGGCUCUGGCCACCAUCAAGAGCGGCGUCAUGGCCGCCGUGAGCAGCGACCCUCGGAUGGGCGCGUCACUGCUCCGGCUGCACUUCCACGACUGCUUCGUCCAAGGCUGCGACGCGUCUGUUCUGCUGUCUGGCAUGGAACAAAACGCUAUCCCGAACGCGGGGUCGCUGAGGGGCUUCGGCGUCAUCGACAGCAUCAAGACGCAGAUCGAGGCCAUCUGCAAUCAGACCGUCUCUUGCGCUGACAUCCUCACCGUCGCCGCCCGCGACUCCGUCGUCGCUCUCGGGGGGCCAUCAUGGACCGUCCCUUUGGGGAGAAGAGAUUCCAUAGAUGCAAACGAGGCGGAGGCAAACAGCGACCUUCCAGGCUUUAAUUCUAGCCGCUCAGAGCUCGAGGCGGCAUUCCUCAGGAAGGGCGGCCUCAAUACGGUCGACAUGGUGGCCCUAUCGGGCGCGCACACCAUCGGCCAGGCGCAGUGCUCAACCUUCCGGGCUCGGAUCUACGGCGGUGACACCAACAUCAACGCGGCCUAUGCGGCGUCGCUUAGGGCCAACUGCCCCCAAACAGUCGGCUCCGGUGACGGCAGCCUGGCGAACCUGGACACGACGACUCCCAACGCGUUCGACAACGCCUACUACACCAACCUCAUGUCACAGAGGGGGCUCCUGCACUCGGACCAGGUGCUGUUCAACAACGACACCACUGACAACACUGUCCGGAACUUCGCUUCGAACCCAGCGGCGUUCAGCAACGCCUUCACGACGGCCAUGAUCAAGAUGGGCAACAUCGCGCCGAAGACCGGGACGCAGGGCCAGAUCAGGCUCAGCUGCUCCAGGGUGAACUCAUAA
rnacentral:rRNA from 1 species